rnacentral:rRNA from 1 species
CUACGGGUGGCAGCAGUGAGGAAUAUUGCACAAUGGGGGGAACCCUGAUGCAGCAACGCCGCGUGGAGGAUGACGCAUUUCGGUGUGUAAACUCCUUUUAUAUGUCAAGAAAAUGACGGUAGCAUAUGAAUAAGCACCGGCUAACUCCGUGCCAGCAGCCGCGGUAAUAGGGAGGGUGCAAGCGUUACUCGGAAUCACUGGGCGUAAAGGACGCGUAGGCGGGUUGGAAAGUCAGGUGUGAAAUCCUACAGCUUAACUGUAGAACUGCACUUGAAACUUCUAAUCUAGAGUAUGGGAGGGGGAGAUGGAAUUAGUGGUGUAGGGGUAAAAUCCGUAGAUAUCACUAGGAAUACCUAAAGCGAAGGCGAUCUCCUGGAACAUUACUGACGCUAAGGCGUGAAAGCGUGGGGAGCAAACAGGAUUAGAUACCCUCUGUAGUC